rnacentral:rRNA from 1 species
AUACUGAACGUUGGCGGCGUGGAUUAGGCAUGCAAGUCGCGCGAUAAAUUACUUCGGGUGAUGGAAAGCGGCGAAAGGGAGAGUAACACGCGGGUACCUACCCUCAGGACCGGGAUAGCUGCGGGAAACUGCAAUUAAUACCGGAUGAUGUCUCCGGACCAAAGGUGUGAUUCCGCCGGAGGAGGGGCCCACGUCCUAUCAGCUAGUUGGCGAGGUAAUAGCUCACCAAGGCUACGACGGGUACGGGGUGUGAGAGCAUGCCCCCGCUCACUGGGACUGAGACACUGCCCAGACACCUACGGGUGGCUGCAGUCGAGAAUCCUCCGCAAUGGGCGAAAGCCUGACGGAGCGACGCCGCGUGCGGGAUGAAGGCCUUCGGGUUGUAAACCGCUGUCAGUGGGGAAGAAAU